rnacentral:misc_RNA from 1 species
UUUCCGUAGGUGAACCUGCGGAAGGAUCAUUAUUGUAUAACCGAGGUGCGAGGGCUGUCGCUGACCCGAAAGGUCGUGCACGCCCGAGUGCCCUCACACACAUCCAUCUCACCCCUAUGUGCACCACCGCGUGGGUCCCCCUUUGGCUUGUUCGGACGGGGGCUUACGUUUUCACACAAACUUUGUAUGCAGUGUAGAAUGUAUUUUUUGUUUUUGCGAUCACGCAAUCAAUACAACUUUCAACAACGGAUCUCUUGGCUCUC